UUAUCAUCCUCUAGUUAACUCAUUUACAUUGCGUCAGUUACCACCUAGCCGCUUCGUUCACCGUGGGACAAAAGGCAACGGAUCCGUAGACGGACAAACCCGACGUUUCACCGUUGCAGCGUCGUCGAGAUCGAUGUGGUUCUUCACAAUUACUUACACGCUGUGUGCCGGUUGUCAACUUCUCGUUUGCGGAAAUUCUUUAUCCAAUUGACCGUUGGCAAUAAGUUCCGCAAAAUGGAAAACAGUUGGAGCUUUGUCGAAGUAUCGAAACGUUUGUAAUUUAUCGUUUAAACUGUUCAAGUACCCGCUUUUUUUAAAUCCAGCAGAACACAAUACGGAGAUAAGCGCAAGAAUCGCUUACGCAAAACCGAUCUUUCCGAGUAUAAUUCAAAAGGGAGGAAGACGGUGAUGGAAAAAAGGGCAACGCCACGGUCGGGUUUCGGAAAUAAUGAAAUCCUCUAGAUUGGAAGCCAUUAUUCGUUAUAAAUGGAAAACACCCUGUACAGCGGGGUGGUAAGGAGACCCUCUCAGCCGUCAUCGUCUUCACUCCUCUCCUCUCCUCGAGGCUGCGCAGCACCUCCUUUGCGGCCCCGAUACCAAGAGAGUUACGCCGAGCGGCUAUCUUACUCUCCUCGACGCCGAGCCUCGGCCGAGCCUCCGGCGUCAAUUUAACCCGACUCGCGGGGCUGCGGGAGAAAUUUUAAUAUGAACAAGAAGGAGGAGAAGAAGAGGAAAAGCAAGGGGAAGAAGAGCGGGAGAGAGAAGGGAGUUCGGGUGGCUACGUUACGCAAAUUUGCGGGGAUUUCAUCUAAUUCCACAUUGUUUCUGCAAAGCACUCAAAGCUGUGAUGCCGCAAAAGUGGCUAUUUUCGUUCGGCUCAUAUUUGCCGGGCUCGUUCAAGCGGUGGUUAAUAUAAACAAAAGUUUACUCUACUAAAUAUGACAAUCAGUUUGACUGGAAUCUAAUCCAGUUACCGUUACCGUAACUUUCACGUUGACGUCAACUGGAUUCACAGUAGAUUAAUUGUUGCGGUAGCUAGGUAGCAAAAACAAUACAAUUUUGAAAAGCGGUCUAACUUGACUGUGAAAUUUUUUUUAUACGCAAACGUCGCCGUUAUUGGAUGUCACUGAUU